rnacentral:lncRNA from 1 species
GCAUAGAUCCUUUAGAGGACCAAGGGUCUCUCCUCCUAUUCAUGACCAACUAGGCCAUCCUCUGCUACAUAUGCAGCUGGCGCCAUAAGUCCCACCAUGUGUACUCUUUGGUGAUUUAGUCCCAGGGAGCUCUGGGAGUACUGGUUAGUUCAUAGUGUUGUUCCUCCUAUGGAGCUGCAAACCCCUUCAGCUCCUUAGGUCCUUUCUCUAGCUUCUCCAUUUGGGGACCCUGUGCUCAGUCCAAUGAUAGGCUGUGAGGAUCCACCUCUGUAUUUGUCAGGCACUGGUGGAGCCUCUCCAGUGACAGCUAUAUCACGCUUCUGUCAGCAAGCACUUGUUGACAUCCACAAAAGUGUCUGGAUUCGGUGAUUGUAUAUGGGAUAGAUCCCCAGGUGGGACAGUCUCUUGAUGGCCAUUCCUUCAGUCUCUGCUCCACACUUUGUCUCUGUAGCUCCUUCCAUGGGUGUUUUGCUUUCCCUUCUAAGAGGGAAAAAGUAUGCACACUUUGGUCUUCCUUCUUGAGUUUCAUGUGGUUUGUGAAAUUGGGUAUUCAAAGCUUUUGGGCUAAUAUCCACUUAUCAGUGAGUGCAUAUCAUGUGUGUUCUUUUGGGGAUGGGUUACCUCAUCAGGAUGAUAUUUUCUAGUUCCAUCCAUUUGCCUAAGAAUUUCAUAAAUUCAUUGUUUUUAAUACCUGAGAAGUACUCCAUUGUGUAAAUGUACCACAUUUUCUGUAUCCAUUCCUCUGUUGAGGGACAUCUGGGUUCUUUCAAGCUCCUGGCUAUUAUAUAUAAGGCUGCGAUGAACAUAGUGGAGCAUUUGUCCUUAUUACAUGUUGGAGAAUCUUCUGGGUACGGUAUUAGUGGGUCCUCAGUUAGUACUAUGUCCAAUUUCCUGAGGAACCACCAAACUGAUUUCCAGAGUAGUUGCACAAGCUUGCAAUCCUGCAGGGUCUGCAACAUAAACAGUUGGUAUGACUGUUUCCAUUCUGUGACCCUAUGACCUAGAUCAUAAUUCAUUCUGAAUUGGUGAAAUUUUCAUUCCAAGACGAUUUAACAUGACAUGGGAUUUAUUAUUUCCCCCUAAAGAUUUUUUUGGCAUGAAAAUAACUUUUGAGUAUGCUAAGAGCUGGUUUUAAUUGACACACUUCUAGUGGCCAUAUUCAAAUUUGGUACAAUCCUCUCAUGUAGUCAUCCCAAUCUUCUAUUUAAAUUUUGGUGGCAAUAUAUUCAUUAUGCAAAAACAGUUAUGAAUAACCCAUUCAUCUUUACCCGCUCUCAUCCUUCCCUGUGCCCAUCACUGGUUCCUGAUCUUUCCCAAAUCAAUCCCUCGUCUACUUUCAGGUCUAAAAAAUAAACCCGAAUUCUGUAUAUGAGGGGGAAAGAUAACAUUCUGCAUCUGUCCUUUUGCAUUUAUUAUAUUGACAUGAUGAUCUCUGGCUUCAUUUAUUAUGAAACCAUAUGAUGUCAUUCUCCUAUUAUGGCUAAACUGUUGGAUGUGUGUGCACUUGUGUCUGCCUGUCUAUGUCUGUCUGUGUAUCUGUCUGUCUGGUUAGAGGCAUGGAACACUGGGACAGUGGGCACUGGAAAAAGUGAGCUCUAUGGAAAGUGGAUGCUAAGGAAAGACAUCCUGAUGGAGGGUUGGUUCUGGGGAGAGUGGACACGGGGAAGAAUGAGCAUGGGGGAAAGUGUGCUUUGAUGAGACUGGAGUCUGGCAAAAUUGAACGCUGGGGAGAGUGGUGGUUUGAACACUCAGAAAAAUGGGCACGAAGGAGAUUGAACACAGUAGAACAGGCACUGGGGUAAUGGGCCCAGGUCAUGCAUACAAGCACAAUGAAGAUUGAACUAUGAGGCAAAUGGGGCACUAUUGUCUGUCUGACCAGGUAUGCUUUCUGCAAACUUAGUCCUAUUAUUUACUCUGAACUCUAAAAUAGUAUCUAUGCGGCUAUGAUCUCCCCUAUAAUUACAGCCCAAGUUUCACACCCCGUGUUGACAGAAUGAAAUCUAUCUUCUAUUCUCCACUUAGGCUUCUGUGUCCUGGUAACUUCUUUUUCUGUCCCACCUACUGGGAUUGGGAGUCUUGAGAGAUAGGAUUGUCCUAUUAGGAGCCUUUCCAUGCUUUCUCAUUUCAAGAUUGGUGCUGGAGUUCUCUCCUAUCUUACAACACACACUAUGUUGUUAAUGCUCCAUGAACCUUUCAUUUUCUGUGAAAGAAAUAUCCCAAACAGCAUUUCUCAAUUCACGUACAUCUGGUUUGCUGUAUUUUCAGCUAAGAUCUCCCUGCUCAUUACAGGAGACUCUGGCACAUCCAGUGUUUAGAACUGAGUCUUCACCAACAAAGAAAAUUAUUCACCUGUCAUUGUUCUGAGUAAAGUGUGUGCUGACUCAAACAAAGACAACUUUGACUGAACCAUGGGCUUCUAAUAAUGGAUAUUACUUAUCAUAUACCUGAAUUUUUAUAAUAAACAGUUACC